rnacentral:rRNA from 1 species
AGUGAACGCUGGCGGUAGGCCUAACACAUGCAAGUCGAACGGCAGCACAGUAAGAGCUUGCUCUUACGGGUGGCGAGUGGCGGACGGGUGAGGAAUACAUCGGAAUCUACUUUUUCGUGGGGGAUAACGUAGGGAAACUUACGCUAAUACGGCAUACGACCUACGGGUGAAAGCAGGGGAUCUUCGGACCUUGCGCGAUCGAAUGAGCCGAUGUCGGAUUAGCUAGUUGGCGGGGUAAAGGCGCACCAAGGCGACGAUCCGUAGCUGGUCGGAGAGGAUGAUCAGCCACACUGGAACUGAGACACGGUCCAGACUCCUACGGGAGGCAGCAGUGGGGAAUAUUAGACAAUGGGCGCAAGCCUGAUCCAGCCAUACCGCGUGGGUGAAGAAGGCCUUCGGAUUGUAAAGCCCUUUUGUUGGGAAAGAAAAGCAGCAGGUUAAUACCCCGCUGUUCUGACGGUACCCAAAGAAUAAGCACCGGCUAACUUCGUG